UUCGAAAAUGUUCCCCCAUUAUUUUCACGCCUGCCCUCUCCCUCAAUUUACACUCCCUCAGAUUAGAAAAUACAAUCAGUCGAGCCCAAAUCCCCCAUUUCCCAGUUUUGUUUUCCAACUCUCUAAUCCCUCGUUUCACAACCCAUUGUUGAAGCCAGUCCUCUCUCCCCUUUGUGCCACUGCCGAUCUACCAUCUUAGUGCCGAUUUGUAGAAAGGUGAUUAUAAUGAUCUACUCUCAAUUUCUUAAUUCCACCAAAAAAAAUUGCAAAAAGGGCAAAGCCCUAGCUAAUUCUUCACUCGCAAUCGGUACUUAAGAUUUUGUCUCGUUCUCUCUCUGCCCUAUUUUUCUUUCACAGUAUUUUCAUAGAGAUAUAGGAAGGUUUUUGUGCAAUAAUUUUAAGGCUUUGUUUUUAUUUGAAUUAGAUUAAUAUUGGGGUCUUUGUUUGGUUCAGAUUCAUCAUGAAGUUUACAAAUUCCAGUGUUUACUUCAUUUUGUAAAACGGACAGCUCAUCAUUACUAAAUUCUCAGGUAAAUACCUUUUUCUACUGUAAUUUGGUGUUGAAUUUUGCGUGUGCUUGUUCUGUAUAUAUUGAAUUCAAUUUUUCUUCUUUUAAAGUGCUUGUAUUUGUUUCUAUGAAAUUUUUUUCUUUCCCUUUUUCUGUUUUCUUUUGGUUAAUUCCACACAAACAAUUGCUAGCGGCCAAAUGUUGGUUUAAUAAGGAAUGAGAUUGACGAGGUUACAUAUUUGUGGGUUGGUUAGUUACGAGAUUUAUAUUUGGUGUUACUUCCUUUAAUAUUAAUUUUAUUGAUCAAGAGAAAUCAUUUGACUUAAAACAUAUUGUACUAAACGAAUUAUCAAGGUACUUAACUAGCUAGUUGGGUAUGAUCUUAAACUUGUGAUAUGAGUGUCACUCAUGUUCAGCUAUGAUUGUUUCUUUAAUGUGAACACCUACUUUAAGUUGUACUCUGUUUACAGAAAUGUUCAAUAUAUUAUAUACAAAGCGUAUGCAGUAUACCAUACUAGAAAUUCCAUGGUCAAUAAUUUGGUAGGGAUGGUUAUAGCUUUUCUUUAUUUGUCAAGGACCUUAUUAAUUUCUUUCUUUUUUAUUUUAUUUUUGUGGCAUGUACACUUUAGUUUUUCUACAGGUGGAUUUAAAGUGUAUUUGGGUUUAUACUCUUUGGUGUAAAAAUUAUUUGGUACUAUUUUAACUAGCUAGAACGUUAUCCAAUUACUUUUCCUUUACAUAACGCUCACGUUAUAGUUGGUUCAUUUGCAUCUUGUCUUGUUUCUACCAAGUUUUAUGAAACAUUCCUGCUCCAUAAAAGAGUCACAUUUGUUAUUAAAAAAAAUUUGAUAAUUGUAAAAUUAAAAGAAUCCUCCUUUUAUUGGUUUUAGUAUAAAAUGAAUAAUAUCCUCAAGUUCAUCAUUAUAAUUUCAUUAUCAUGCCACCGCUACAUCGUAAAUUACACUUUAUUAUUUAGAGGUCAACAUGAAACAAAUAUACAUCCUUAAUAUUUUUAUUAGACUUUUUUUGUAGGUCGAAGGAACUGGUAAUUAUGGGAAGAUAACUUAGAGCAACUUUAUGGGUAUUUUCCCUUUAUUUUAUUAUUUAGAGGUCAACAUGAAACAAGUAUACAUCCUUAAUAUUUAUAUGGGACUUUUUUUGUAGGCCGAAGGAACUGGUGAUUAUGGGAAGAUAACUUAGAGCUACUUUAUGGGUAUUUUCCCUUCAUUUUGCACUUGUAAAAUGCUCUUACUGUCUAACAUAUAUCCUAUCCCUUUUCCCCCUAGUAUCAUGUUUUUUCCUUCUAGGUAUUGAGCUAAUCCCUCUCUGAUUUUUAUUGUUAACUCUCAAUCUCAAUCCAUUUGUUGAUUAUAUGUGCUGGACAUGGUAAUAACCUUAAUCCUUUUAAUCAAGGCUCUGAGAAUUUAAAGAAAAAGUUGAUCUGCUGAUUACUGUACUAUUAAGUGACAAUUUACUAGUAUUAAUCAUCAGCACUUGCAUCAGUGAGUGGAAAAUUGAAGUUGGGGGUGAGGACAGCAGUCAUAGUAGAACGAGUCUUACAGUAAUUGUGCUCAAUUUAAGACACUAUUGAGUGGUUCUUUGAUGAGAAAUCUUCACUGUAACCGAUUUAUCAAUCAUUUAUCAUAUCUUAUUUUUUUGUUCUGUUAUUCAAUUUCAUUACUUAUUCGUACACCUAAUGAUGAAUAUCUUUUUGGUUCUAUUAAAUUUUUGUUUAUUGGAUCAUGGGAAUAAUCGGUCAUUGGUUUGAUUGAAAGUGUAUUGUGGGGAGUACUAACAAUAGGGUGUAGCUGAAAGUGUAGAUCACUUGUUAUGUGCACUACUUUGAUUUGGUUUGAUAAUUCCUGUUCCGUGUAGUCCAUCAUGAGUGGGAGGAUCACUUGUUGGGUCUUACUUGUUGAUUUCUACCUGCAUCCCACUGUGUUUCACUUUUGUCUUCAAUGAUGGUGGUAUAUUGGAUGGAUUCAUAUUUCAGUUUUCCCUUUCCUUGAUCCUCUUGCCGGACUUGAUGUCUCAGUUAUGAUCCUCAAAGCUGUACUUGAAACUGGUUUAGGAGGUAUUAUUCUUUCUUCUUCUUCCUUUGGUUGCUAUUUGAUUUUUUUUAAUUAAUUGCUAAAUGAUAGACUAGUUUUUUUUUUUGAAAUUACAAGCUUAAGCGAGGGAUGAUUCCAUCAACUGAGGGGUUGAUUGUCAAUGAUAGCAAGAUGAAUUCUACUCAUUGCUUCUUCUUUACUUACUUCAUGGUUGUAUUGCUCAUAGGUUCAUUUUAGAUAGGCUUGCGCAGCCACCUUAAAUGGAUAAAAGGCUCAUUUAAGAGCAAGUAUACUUGCCUCGCAAAACCAGGGACAACUUUGCAUAGUUGGCUUUUAUUCACCUGUCCAAACUGAUUUUGUGAAUCUUAAGAAGGUGAUUAGUAGUUAAACUAAGAUUAUGAACUCACUGAGUGGCAGACUAUAAAUCUCCAUAUGUGACAUGUUUCUGAAUUUUUAAUGUCUUGGAACUGGUGGAUGCUGCAGUCCCAUCGCAUCUUUUGGAUCCUACAAGACUAACUAUUCAACAAGUUCAUGAAUGGCCAGUCAUCAUAUUUCAAAAACGUGUGAUCGCUUAUCAGGUUAAUGGUUAAUCUCACUUAAUUUAAAAUUUUCAAUUUCAUCUUUCCUUAUUCAUCAUCUCAUUGAAUUUUGGUGUUUGUCUUGCAGCAUGAAGUUUACAUGCACAACGUUGAUUUACUUGAAGAAAAUGACAUGAAGUGGACCUAACAUGACACACUUCAUUCCUUCUAGUUCAUUGUUAUUCUUUUAAUUUUCUUAUGUUAGUUAAUAAAUAUUGUAGAUACUAUGGUCUUUUAGACCAAGAUACAAUAAAAAAUUAUGUACUUAUCGUGAUUCGAGCAUUAUCUAUUUAUAUAUGGAGUAUUGGUUUUAUUA
rnacentral:lncRNA from 1 species